rnacentral:rRNA from 1 species
AUUGAACGCUGGCGGCAGGCCUAACACAUGCAAGUCGAGCGGCAGCGGGAAAGUAGCUUGCUACUUUUGCCGGCGAGCGGCGGACGGGUGAGUAAUGCCUGGGAAAUUGCCCAGUCGAGGGGGAUAACAGUUGGAAACGACUGCUAAUACCGCAUACGCCCUACGGGGGAAAGCAGGGGACCCUCGGGCCUUGCGCGAUUGGAUAUGCCCAGGUGGGAUUAGCUAGUUGGUGAGGUAAUGGCUCACCAAGGCGACGAUCCCUAGCUGGUCUGAGAGGAUGAUCAGACACACUGGAACUGGGACACGGUCCAGACUCCUACGGGAGGCAGCAGUGGGGAAUAUUGCACAAUGGGGGAAACCCUGAUGCAGCCAUGCCGCGUGUGUGAAGAAGGCCUUCGGGUUGUAAAGCACUUUCAGCGAGGAGGAAAGGUUGAUGCCUAAUACGUAUCAACUGUGACGUUACUCGCAGAAGAAGCACCGGCUAACUCCGUGCCAGCCGCCGCCGUAAAAC